GACGAACGCUGGCGGCGCGCUUAACACAUGCAAGUCGAGCGAAGCGGCGGACGGGUGAGUAACACGUGAUUAACCUGCCUUAGACAUUGGGAUAGCCUCGGGAAACCGGGAUUAAUACCUAAUGGUCUAAGAUGGACUCGCGUCCCAUUAGCUAGUUGGGAGGUAACGGCCCACCAAGGCGCCGAUGGGUAGCCGGCAGGAGAGGGUGAACGGCCACAGUGGAACUGAGAAACGGGCCAAACUCUACGGGAGGCAGAAGUGGGGAAUAUUGCACAAUGGAGGGAACUCUGAUGCAGCGACGCAGCGUGAACGAAGAAGGCUUUCGAGUCGUAAAGUUCUUUUAUAUGGGAAGCGGUACCAUAAGAAAAAGCCCCGGCUAACUACGUGCCAGCAGCCGCGGUAAUUC
rnacentral:rRNA from 1 species